UUUUUCAGUUGAGGAAACUGGGCCCUGAGACGUUAACUUGCCCAAAAGAUCACAGUGGGCAACAUUCUAGAGCACAAACAAUGGAAGCCAACAGCAAUGUCAGCGAAGAUGGAAAACAGAACGUGGAGAGAGAUGUAGCUUACUAGAGCCUCGUGGCUUCAAUCCCCACCAGGAAUGUCGUUUAAGAAGAAGGUGAUCAAGCACAAAUUCACAUUUGCUUGAGGAAGAAUAUAAAUGACAUAUCACACACCAACCGUGUGCAAAGCACUCUACCUAAAGAUCAGUGCUGACAGAGGAAUAAGCAGAGGGCUCCAGGAGCAAAGAGUGAAGAGUCUGGCAAGGCUUCAAGUACAGGGGGAAGUAGGUGGAGCUUUCACUGUAGAAUCUUUCCUGGAGAAAAAGCAAAGAGUGGGGCAACAAUAAAGGCAUUAAAAAUAACUGUCAAGUUGAAGAAAAAGUGAGUAGUGAUGUGGCUGGAUUCUAGGGAGAUGGGGCUGUGUAAAGGCAGAGUGUACAAGCCUCUGCCAGAAUUCACAUUCACACACCACAGCCAGAAGAGCCGGCAAAUUACAUGGGGAAAAACUCUGUAUGAGCUCGCCUUGCACUGACAUGUACUAUUAUUAUACACUCUGUGCCUUUGAGACAACCUGCCACGCACACACACAAAGCCAGCAACUAAAAGGAAACUGGCAUUAAUACAAUUCAGUGUGAGGGUAUGAUCUGGGGGUGUGGAGGUGGAGAUGAGGUUGUUUUAUUUCUUACAAUAAUACUUGUAUUUCAGGUAAUCGAAUUUAGUUCUUAACGCUCAUGUCAUUUUCUGCUAAUUUAAUGUCCCAGGAAUCCCUCCGAGUAAGAAGAUUGCUAGUGGAAUGCAAAUAAAGCCCAUUCUGGGAAAAAGAACCAUUUCCCCAACCCAGAUCUGAAGUUUAUCAAUACAUGAUCUGCUCAAAAACGAAAGAAAUAAAACAAGUAUCUGCAAUUUGCUGAGAACCUAAUAUGUGUCAGUUGCCUGCAAAACUCAUCAUUCUUAGACUUUCAAACACAUCUGUGAGGACGGUAUUGUUGUUUCCACUUAUACAUGAGAAAACUUACAGAAGGCAAGAGUCAAGCCCACAGUCACCCAGCUGGUAUUUUGCCGAAGACUAAGGAUUCGGAUAUGACUAUGGAAAGAGCAUGAAGUCGUUCGAUCAUCAUCUCUCUCCAUCCACUGGAAAAACUAAGCUCCAUAAGAAGAGGGGACUUGCCCAUGUGGCUCAGGGCUCUAUGCCCAGUGCCCUAGACAGUGCCUGACCGUGUGUGUGGAAAGAAUGAAUAACCUUGGUGAUCCACCCAAUGGCACUGGCGCUCAGUGACCUCGUUUGAAAUGGAAUAAGGAUUUUAUGAAAAUGCAUGUUUGUUGAAUAACACAAAGGAGAAUAUUAUCUAAUGUGGCUUGGGGUCAAUAUCAAGCAGUAAUAUUGUUUUAAUAUUAAUUAGAGCCCUGUCAUUGCAAGAGCUGGUAAGAAUACUGGUCUUGUUUCCAACUGAUGAAAACACUCGUACAGAUUAGGGUUUUUAUGAGUAAAUUUCAGAUCUUGAAGUCA